rnacentral:lncRNA from 1 species
GGGCUGGGAGCCGGGGAUCGCGGGGACGGAAGUGGGGGACCGAGUCUCGCGAGCCCGGGCCCUCCUCGCAGCUGGGGCCCCACUGGCGCCCCCGCGGGAGCGCUACGGGAGAGGCGCCUAUGCGGCUGCAGGUUUUAUUAUGGAGCUGUCAAGGUAGAAAGGUCUUUGGACAAACUCAACCAAUUGUCAACCAGAAAAUGUUUAAGUUGACCUAUACCCUAGAACCACCCUCCCCCUCUUUGAGUUUUCCUGCCUUUCUGGAUCAAACAAAUUUAUUUCUUAAAUGAACUUAACUUGAAGUCUCAUGCCUCCUCAGAAUGUAUUAAACCAAGCUGCACCCCGACCUCCUUGGGCACAUGUUCUCAAGACCUCCUGAAGGCUGUGUCACUGGCUGUGGUCACUCAUAUUUGGCUCACAAUAAAUCUCUUCAAAUAUUUUACAGAGUUUGACUCUUCCACAAUAAUUUGGCACCCAGCGUGGGGCCUCAGAGAAGACUCAGGACCCCAAAGGAGUUGCCUGAACUCGGAGCGAAGAUACCAGUGGGGCCCAUUGAAGCCUCCCAGACUUCUAGCUUCUCCCCCGAUGGAACUGGUUAAGUUCUCCUGAGCCCCAGAUCGCCCUUUGGUUGACAGUCCUUCGUUUAGUGUGAGCUGGUUUUUCUCCUAGGAAGUUGUUGUUUAAGGAUUCUAAUUCUAGUUCAGAGACACAUUCUAAAGGGUUUUCUUUAUUGCUUUUUCUCCCAAAAUUAAUCUUGAUUCGGCUUGUCUGCGCAUUUGUGUGAGGAAUUGAACUGUUGUUUUCAUAGGUAAAUGAGAGACUGAGUUUUCUCAACUCCAAAGAGAAAGGCAUUUGCUCCUCCCAGCCAAAACGUGCUCCUGGGUGACUGGGGGCCUUGUGGGAGUGUCUGGGGGGGGGUUGACAUCCUGUGACAUGCAGCAGCCCUAUGGGGAAAUCCCCAACAAAAAUUAAUUUUAAAAAUGGCUUGUCCAGGAAUGCAUAUAAGGACUGAUCACCCAUCAUUUUGAGCCCUCUCAAAGGUAAUAGACCUCUGGAGAGAGAAACUGAGACAUGUAACAGGGUGGAAACAACUCAGUGGUGACACAUGGUGGGGUCCUGCCCACAAGCAGCACACAUUGAUCCACCACACAAAAACCCUAGGCCACAGCUCAGUUCCUACUUCUAAGAAAAAAAAAGGUGGGAAACAAAUGAUCUAAGAAUGAGGAGAAAACAAGGAGAAUGACCUCAUUUCGGGCACUCUGUUGGUUUUAUGGUGCGUCUACUUGCCAGAGCUUAUGUAAAAUGGAAAUAUAAUGAUCCUUGUGCACAUUUACAUUAAGGAAAAGAGCCCUAAGGUCAACCUGUACACUAUAGAGUUCCUAAGUUCUCUUCUUCUCUAUAUUUUCUGCCUGCUUUAAAUCUGCUUUUACUUUUGUACUGAAAUUAAAAACCACUGUUUGGAUCUA